rnacentral:rRNA from 1 species
AGAGUUUGAUCCUGGCUCAGAUUGAACGCUGGCGGCAUGCCUUACACAUGCAAGUCGAACGGCAGCACGGGGGCAACCCUGGUGGCGAGUGGCGAACGGGUGAGUAAUACAUCGGAACGUGUCCUGUAGUGGGGGAUAUGCCCGGCGAAAGCCGGAUUAAUACCGCCAUACGCCCCUACGGAAGAAAGGGGGGGAUCUAUACUGAGGAACCUCCCCCCACAGGGGGCGCGGCGCAUGUGCACAAUAUAAACUAUAUUUGGGGUGGGGUUAAAGGGCCCAACCCAGGGCCGACCGAUUCCUGUUAGCCUGGGUUCUUGAAAGAGGGGAACGAACCCCAAGGCCCACCAGCCUGGGGGGAAACCUGGAAAGAAAACACCCGGGGGCCCCCCCAAGAAAACCUUCCCCCUUAACCGGGGGGGAAAGGGGCCAUGGCCCAAGG